AACGAACGCUGGCGGCAUGCCUAACACAUGCAAGUCGAACGAAGCCUUCGGGCUUAGUGGCGCACGGGUGCGUAACGCGUGGGAAUCUGCCCCUUGCUUCGGAAUAACAGUUAGAAAUGACUGCUAAUACCGGAUGAAGUCUUCGGACCAAAGAUUUAUCGGCAAGGGAUGAGCCCGCGUAGGAUUAGGUAGUUGGUGGGGUAAAGGCCUACCAAGCCGACGAUCCUUAGCUGGUCUGAGAGGAUGAUCAGCCACACUGGGACUGAGACACGGCCCAGACUCCUACGGGAGGCAGCAGUGGGGAAUAUUGGACAAUGGACGCAAGUCUGAUCCAGCAAUGCCGCGUGAGUGAUGAAGGCCUUAGGGUUGUAAAGCUCUUUUACCAGGGAUGAUAAUGACAGUACCUGGAGAACAAGCUCCGGCUAACUCCGUG
rnacentral:rRNA from 1 species